rnacentral:rRNA from 1 species
GACGAACGCUGGCGGCGUGCUUAACACAUGCAAGUCGAACGGAAAGGCCCUUCGGGGUACUCGAGUGGCGAACGGGUGAGUAACACGUGGGUGAUCUGCCCUGCACUUUGGGAUAAGCCUGGGAAACUGGGUCUAAUACCGAAUAGGAUCAUCGGCUUCAUGGUCGGUGGUGGAAAGCCUUUGCGGUGUGGGAUGGGCCCGCGGCCUAUCAGCUUGUUGGUGGGGUAAUGGCCUACCAAGGCGACGACGGGUAGCCGGCCUGAGAGGGUGACCGGCCACACUGGGACUGAGAUACGGCCCAGACUCCUACGGGAGGCAGCAGUGGGGAAUAUUGCACAAUGGGCGCAAGCCUGAUGCAGCGACGCCGCGUGAGGGAUGACGGCCUUCGGGUUGUAAACCUCUUUCAGCAGGGACGAAGCGCAAGUGACGGUACCUGUAGAAGAAGGACCGGCCAACUACGUGCCAGCCGCCGCCGUAA